AUUAUUACAAAUGUAUAAUUGAUAAGUGAAGAAAUAACUACAGAGAAGAUUAGCAUGGCCCCUGCGAAAGGAUGACACGCAAAUUCGUGAAGCGUUUCCACAUUUU